UACGUAGGGGGCUAGCGUUGUCCGGAAUCAUUGGGCGUAAAGCGCACGUAGGCGGCUUUCUAAGUCAGGGGUGAAAUCCUGGAGCUCAACUCCAGAACUGCCUUUGAUACUGGAGAGCUUGAGUCCGGAAGAGGUGAGUGGAACUCCGAGUGUAGAGGUGAAAUUCGUAGAUAUUCGGAAGAACACCAGUGGCGAAGGCGGCUCACUGGUCCGGUACUGACGCUGAGACGCGAAAGCGUGGGGAGCAAACAGG
rnacentral:rRNA from 1 species